UGAAAAGGGCAAACCGGUCGAAAGACCGGGACGCAAAGCUCAGGAGGCUACCGCGGCUCCGCCGCCACGCCAGUCCGGCCGCCGC
rnacentral:ncRNA from 1 species